rnacentral:miRNA from 1 species
AAAUCUGUUACAUAUUCCCUUGGGAAUCACUACCUCUCUUCUCUCUCAAUUUUUUUGUCUAGUGCGAUUUCCAAAGGAAUAUGUAACAGAUUC